rnacentral:misc_RNA from 1 species
UCAAACUUGGUCAUUUAGAGGAAGUAAAAGUCGUAACAAGGUUUCCGUAGGUGAACCUGCGGAAGGAUCAUUACAGAUUACUUUCAAAAAUAAAAUUGGGGUUAGGUUGUUGCUGGCUUUUAAAGCACGUGCACAUUUUGCUUCAGUUUUUUUUUGACCACCUGUGCACCUUGUGUAGGUCUCGAACAUUUUGUUUCUCAGUUGAGGACUAAAAACAAAAACUUCCUCAACUGGUUUGAGAAAGAUGUCUCAAAUAAUGUAGACUCUUCUUGCGAAAAGUUCAGAUCUAUGUUACUUUUUCAAUCCACACACACAUUUGUUGUUAUUCAGAAUGAUUGAUUUGUAAUAAAAACAACUUUCAACAACGGAUCUCUUGGCUCUCGCAUCGAUGAAGAACGCAGC